AUGCAGUAUUUGUCCUUCUGUACCUGGCUUAUUUCACUUAGCAUAAUGUUCUCUCAUUCCAUCCAAUGUUGCUGCAAAUGACAAAAUUUCUUUCUUUUUAAAGGCUGAGUGGUAUUUACGGGCUGUGUAUAUAUGUCACAUUUUCUUUGUCCAUUCAUCUGUUGAUGAACACUUUGGUUGAUUCCAUAAGUUGAAUAGUGCAUAGUGCUGCAGUGAACAUGGGAGUGCAGACAUC
rnacentral:lncRNA from 1 species